CGGGGAGGAGCGCGGCGCGGGCUCGCGGGGACACCGGGGCCCAGGCUGGGGGGGCGGUCAGUGCCGGCCGCGUAGGACCGAGGCGCCGGGGGCGUAGCGGGCAGCCGGGCCUCGGGGAGCUUGAGAGCUGGAGGCUGGCAGAGCUGGGACACCGCCCCGGGGUUGCGCCCCUGGGGAUGGGAGGGGUGGGGAGGGCGGCGAGACCCCUCCCCUCUUUGUCUUAGGUACUCGGAGGUGUGGGGCUGUGCCGGCUUAAAGCAAUUAGCACAGUGACUGGCCCUGAAUGAGCCCUUUGAGUGUCCGGGCUUUGAUUGCAACCACGGUGCGAGGGGGAAACAGGAAAGGGAGUGGGUAACUGCCAUUAUUAAGCACCCAGGCUGGCCGGGUGCGGUCACCACCCCUUCCUUCUCGAGGUGGCAGCCGAGGCAUAGAGGACACGAAGCAUGUGUCCUAGGACUGUGGAAGAGACAGAGCUGGGAUACGAACCUGGGACCUCUGGUUCUUGGCCCGGUCCACCUCCUAGCAAAUUAUUGGAAUGAACAUGAGAAAUCCUCCUCCAGCUCCUGAUUGGCUCUCUCUGAGACACCACGACCACCUCCCAGCUGGUCGCCUAAAUUACCCGCCUCGGGCCCCUCUCCUGACUGCAAAUUGAUAUCUGCGGAAGCAAAGAAUCAGUCUUUCAGUUUCCCUAUCCCAAGAGGACUGACACUACCCAACUUCAAGACUUCCUAUAAAGCUACAGUAAUCAAGCCAUGUGGUAUUGGUGAAGAAUAGACAAACGGGUCAGUGGAGUAGAAUAGAGAGCCCAGAAGCAGAGCCACAUAAAAACAGCCAACUCUUUGACCAAGGAGAAAAGGCGAUACAGUGGAACAAAGAGUCUUUUUAACAAAUGGUGCUGGAACAACUGGACAUCCAUAUGCAAAGAAAUGGAUCCAGACAGGACUUUACACCCCUGACAAAAUUUUACUUAAAAUGGGUGAUAGACCUAAAUGUAAAAUGCAAAACUGCGAACCCCUGGGAGAUAACAUAAGGGAAAAUCUGGAUGAUCAUGGAGAUGGUGAUGACUUUUUAAGUACAACAAAGGCAUGAUCCAUGAAAGAAAUAACCAAUAAGCUAUACUUCAUUAAAAUAAAAAAUUUUUGCUCUGCAAAGGGCAUUGUCAAGAGAAUGAAAAGCCAGACUGGGCAAAAAUAUUUGCAAAAGACAUUUCUGAUAAAGGACUAUUAUCCACAGUAAACAAAGAACUCUUAUAAUGCAAUGAUAAAGAAACAGCCUGAUUAAAAAAUGGACCAAAGAUUUUAACAGACACAGAACAGAUGGUAAGUAAGCAUAUGAACAGAUGCCCUACAUCAUAUAACCCCAAUGAAAUGCAAAUUAAAACAACAAUGAGAUGCCACGAUACACCUAUUGGAAUCCCCCAAAUCUAGAACACUGACAACACCAAACGUGCUCAAGGAUAUGGAGCAACAGGAACUCUCGUUCAUUGCUGGUGGGAAUGCAAAGUGGUACAGCUGCUUUGGAAGACAGAUUGAUGGUUUCUUCCAAAACCAACCAUAGUCUAACCAUCCCACCCAGUGAUUGUUCUUCUUGGUGUUUACUGAAAGGAGUUGAAAACUUAGGUCCACACGAAAACCCACAAUGGAUAUUUAUAGCAGUUGCCAAAACUCGGAAGCAACCAGAUCCUUCAGGAAGUGAAUGGAUAAAUAAACUGUGGUCCAUCCAGACAAUGGGGUAUUAUUGUUCAGUGCUAAAAAGAAACGAGCUCUCAAGCCAUGAAAAGACAUGGAG